GCCGAAGGGGGCUAGCGUUGUUCGGAAUUACUGGGCGUAAAGCGCGUGUAGGCGGUUUCCCAAGUCGGGUGUGAAAGCCUUGAGCUCAACUCAAGAAAUGCACUCGGUACUGGGUGACUAGAGGACCGGAGAGGAUAGUGGAAUUCCCAGUGUAGUGGUGAAAUACGUAGAGAUUGGGAAGAACACCAGUGGCGAAGGCGGCUAUCUGGACGGUUUCUGACGCUAAGACGCGAAAGCGUGGGGAGCAAACAGG
rnacentral:rRNA from 1 species